CAUUUAAAAUGCGCGCGCCGACGUGGCCUCGUGCGCGGCCACUGACCCCCGUCGCCUCGCCGAGGCCCGCAAUUAACUAAUCUCCAAAUCCAAAUCUCUUCCCUCCUAAUCCCUCGCCUCCUCCCCCUCUCGCCGUCGCCGAAAGGCCAAUUCUCCCUCCACCGCGUCGUCGUCGUCAUUCCCCGCCUUUUUCUAUCCCCCACUAGGGUCUUCUGGAUCGGCCCCGAUCCUUCCAGACACUUCCGCUCCCCCGCUAUAAAAGGCCGGCGAGCGCCACCAGACCCUCCAUCGGCGCUCGCACCGCACGCACCCAACAACCCCCGUUCUUGGCUGGAUGGUGGCCGGAGCUCGCGGAGGACUCGAGAUACGCAUGUGGCGGCACCGAGCAUGAGGCAACAACUGCAUUACUUGCGGGGAAGGCGCAAGUAGGACGCCUGCAUUACUUGCAAACAAGGCGCAAAAUUAAUAGAAGAUCACCAUACUUGUGGCUUUCUUGCAAGUCGUGCAGUUGCUGCCUCAAGCUUGCUGCCUCCCUUUGCCAAAGCUAUCAGAAAAAACAUAAAGUUCUGUUAGUUUCCCUAAACUUUAAAACAUGUUCUACAAAAUUGAUCUAGAAAUGAUUGGCUUACUGUGCUAAUUUAAAGCAAUAUAAUUACUCGACAACUGCAUAUGCACAUGUUAGAAGCAAGGCAGUAGAAUACUUAUGUUUUCAUCUGCUGGCAGGUAGCAACACGUAUAGAUAUAUCACUCUGAAUUGAGUUAUGGAGCAAACAUUAAGAACUUCCCACUUUGUUGGCACAUCCCAUCUGUGAAAUUACAUAUAAAUUUAUGUACAGGCAGUGUUCUCAGGGUAUGGAUUCAAAUAUUUUGGUGAAAACAGAAUAGCUGCUGUAAUAAUUUUAGAAAUAUUAUGCACACGGAGGAUUUUUAAUGUGAUGGUGCGGCUGCACACCUAUAAGCCUCCACCUUGCCCUUACCCUCUCUUCUAACCAUUUAAUUUAAGUAAUCCCAACUAGUUCAAGCCUUACUGUACAUCAACAUGGUCUCAUCCUGUAUUUGCAUGAUUCAUCUGGAAGAAAGACAACAUAAUUUUCAUUUUAAGUCAUAUCCUCUCAGUCUUAGGCAGCUACUAUUUAUGAACUUGGAAGCCGGCGCAGCAGGUAUGGGAGGUAAGAUACUUGAUAGAUUCUGAGGUUCAGUAAUGUGUUGUUCGCUAAUUUUGGUUGUCCACCUGUGCUACAGGAUCUUCACAGAGUAGCAGGGUGUAGCAGAAUCAGUGGAGCUCUUAGACGGGAGCAGCUGCGUCAAAUGCUAUGAUCCCAACUUUGACUUUAUUUUCGAACAAGAGGUGGGGCGGCGGCUGUUCUUUGAUGCCGAGCCGCUGAAGUGUGGCUUCAGGAGGAAGGGCGCAAUGGCGCAACAGAGUGUCAGUCUACUAGUUAUUGCAGUUACAUGCACAUGCCCGAGUACCAACUACUGACGGACAUGUCUUCAGUCUUGAGUAACAAGCAUGUUAUUCCGAAGCUGCCCGACACUUUUGUACUAAUAGAAAUCUGUUUAUAUUUCUGUCCACAACUUCACCAGCAAGGUGCAAUUUAGAAGGAAAAAUUGAGAGCUUGCCAAACUUAGGUAUGUCCGAUAGUCUUAUCUUAGCCGUCUGUAAGAAUUGCUAGUUAGGAAAGAAGAAAAGAGAGCAAUAGUCUUUCUGUAGUUGUAUGUACACUCUCUAUGAUUCUAUAGACAAAUUGCUGACGGUGUUUUUGCUCUUGUCUUAAUGUUGUCUGUAACUUCUAUCUGCAAACGGCAUGUCCAAAACUAGAACCAUUAUAGCACAAGUUAUCUA